rnacentral:rRNA from 1 species
CCUACGGGGAGCAGCAGUGAGGAAUAUUGGUCAAUGGACGCAAGUCUGAACCAGCCAUGCCGCGUGCAGGAAGACGGCUCUAUGAGUUUUAAACUGCUUUUGUACGAGGGUAAACGCAGAUACGCGUAUCUGUCUGAAAGUAUCGUACGUAUAAGGAUCGGCUAACUCCGUGCCAGCCGCCGCGGUAAGACGUAGGAUUCAAGCGUUAUCCGGAUUUAUUGGGUUUAAAGGGUGCGUAGGCGGGCGGAUAAGUUAGAGGUGAAAUCCCGAGGCUCAACUUCGGAAUUGCCUCUGAUACUGUUCGGCUAGAGAGUAGUUGCGGUAGGCGGAAUGUAUGGUGUAGCGGUGAAAUGCUUAGAGAUCAUACAGAACACCGAUUGCGAAGGCAGCUUACCAAGCUACUUCUGACGUUGAGGCACGAAAGCGUGGGGAGCAAACAGGAUUAGAUACCCUUGUAGUC